AUGUCGACCGCCGCGGCUAACUGGUGCUACGCAACCGUAGUCGCGCCCCGUGCCCGCUCCUCCACCAUCGUCGCCAGCCUCGGCACCCCCGCGCCCUCCAACUCCUCCUCCUUCCGCCCCAAGCUCAUCAGGAACACCCCCGUCCAGGCCGCCCCCGUCGCACCCGCAUUGAUGGACGCCGCCGUGGAGCGCCUCAAGACCGGGUUCGAGAAGUUCAAGACCGAGGUCUACGACAAGAAGCCCGAUUUCUUCGAGCCCCUCAAGGCCGGCCAGGCGCCCAAGUACAUGGUGUUCGCGUGCGCCGACUCCCGUGUGUGCCCCUCGGUCACCCUGGGCCUGGAGCCCGGCGAGGCCUUCACCAUCCGCAACAUCGCCAACAUGGUCCCCUCCUACUGCAAGAACAAGUACGCCGGUGUUGGAUCGGCCAUCGAAUACGCCGUCUGUGCUCUCAAGGUUGAGGUCAUCGUGGUGAUUGGCCACAGCCGCUGCGGUGGAAUCAAGGCUCUGCUCUCACUCAAGGAUGGCGCAGACGACUCCUUCCACUUCGUCGAGGACUGGGUCAGGAUCGGCUUCCCGGCCAAGAAGAAGGUGCAGACUGAGUGCGCCUCCAUGCCUUUCGAUGACCAGUGCACCGUCCUCGAAAAGGAGGCAGUGAACGUGUCCCUCCAGAACCUCCUGACCUACCCGUUCGUCAAGGAGGGUGUGUCCAACGGAACCCUCAAGCUGGUCGGCGGUCACUACGACUUCGUCUCCGGCAAGUUCGAGACAUGGGAGCAGUGA
rnacentral:rRNA from 1 species